rnacentral:tRNA from 1 species
GCAUCGGUGGUUCGGUGGCAGAAUGCCCGCCUGGCACGCGGGCGGCCCGGGUUCGAUUCCCUGCCGAUGCA